GGCCCUUACGACCAGGGCUACACACGUGCUACAAUGGCAUAUACAAAGAGAAGCGACCUCGCGAGAGCAAGCGGACCUCAUAAAGUAUGUCGUAGUCCGGAUUGGAGUCUGCAACUCGACUCCAUGAAGUCGGAAUCGCUAGUAAUCGUAGAUCAGAAUGCUACGGUGAAUACGUUCCCGGGCCUUGUACACACCGCCCGUCACACCAUGGGAGUGGGUUGCAAAAGAAGUAGGUAGCUUAACCUUCGGGAGGGCGCUUACCACUUUGUGAUUCAUGACUGGGGUGAAGUCGUAACAAGG
rnacentral:rRNA from 1 species